CAAUGCCCUGUGGUGGGACUAAGAACCCACAAUAUGAAUUCACAGAAGUCGUACCGAAACCACAGUAACCAGAAAGGUGAGCUCAGGACACAUUUACAAAAAUAACGUCUGCUUCUGAUGCUCCUUCUAACAAGUACAGUCCUAAACUGUAGUACUGGACAAAUGUUGGCAAACCAGUUUACAUUCUAUAUGUUUUAUGAAGGUCCCUGGAAAUUGGUGGUAGCGGGCUGGUCCUUGGGGAAGAAAAGUCCACUGCAGCGCCUCAGGCCAAGUGCACAUCCACAAGUAUCCCAGGGCACAGCAUUGCUUUGGUAAAACCCUCCUGAAGCAGAGAACAUCACGUAUAGCGUCACACAGUACCCUUCUCUAGCUCUCCCUCACUAUUCUGAUUCUUUGCUCUCCCAGCAACGUCCCUGGAUAUCAUAAACUGAGCACAACAUAAGGCUCGUGAUGUUCAGGAGGGAGCCUGGUUCCUCCACUAACAUUUGGUGGUCGUAAAGUCAGGGUAAGGUCUGUUUAUGACCCUGUUGUAGGGCCCUUAUGCUCCCUUCAGACUUGGAAUAUUUCCUAGCUUGUCAAAACUUGGUUUUGCUUAGAGUAUGAGACUAGAUCUCUGAAUCAGGACAUCCUUGUAAAUGCAUGUGUAAUGAAGGCAGAAAUGAGUCUCCUAGACUAAAUCUACUUUUAAAGCAUUGAUCUAAAUUACACAUACCGGCUAAUCUCUUCAUUCCUUAUACUGACCCAUGCAUGGAGAGAUGUUAUCCAGGAAACUCUGACAGUAUCAAGUACAGAUUUUGGAUAUUCAGUGAUGUACUGGCUGGCUUUGCCAGUAACUUGACACAAGCUGGAGUUAUCACAGAGAAAGAAGUGUCCCUUGAGGAAAUGCCUCCGUGAGAUCCAGCUGUAAAGCAUUUUCUCAAUUACUGAAAAAGGGUGGGAGGGCCCACUGUGGGUUGAGUCAUCUCUGGGCUGGUGGUCCUGGGUUCUAUAAGAAAGCAAGCUGAGCAAGCCAGGGGAAGCAAGUCAGUAAGCAGCACCCCUCCAUGGCCUCUGCAUCAGCUUCUGCCUCCAAGUUCCUGCCCUGUGUCAGUUCCUGUCCCAACUUCCUUUGGUGAUGAACAGCAACGUGGAAAUGUAAGCUGAAUAAACCCUUUCCUCCCCAACUUGCUUCUCGGCCAUGAUGUUUGUGCAGGAAUACAAACCCUGACUAAGACAGGUAAGAACCAAAUACUUUUAUGCACAAAUGGAGACCUGGUAUGACAGCACAAACGCCUGCCACCCCUUACCCAUUGCUUAGAGAAUCACCACCAGGGGACCAAAUUCUACCCUGCCUGCUAGGUCCUAUGCUAACAGAAGUUGCCUAACAAUUUAUAAUCAGAUGCCAAAUGUGUGAUCAUCCCAGGAGGGUACAGUGUUCCUGUCAGAGUUGGACCAUUUAUUUUUCCCUGGUUUUAAGAUGAGGAAGAAACUCCUCUCCUGACUACUCUCUGUCCUUUGGUCUCUCUGCUCUUCCUUGGAGGGAGAUCUCCCUGAAGUCAGCAUGGCAAGCAAGAAGAUACACAGAGAGCUGGAACGAGCUUAAUUUUAACAGUACCAGCCCCUUCUGCAGCAGUGGGGCAGGUUAAAGGGGAGAGUGGGACCUUUCCAUCUUUCCUUGAUGGUAAGUUCUGGAGCGGAUGGUAUAAUACAGGAGUGUCUUGCACACCACAGGGCAUUUACAUCUUAAGGGUGUCAUUCACAAAGCUAGGCUUGUUAGCAUUGUGCUUAUGAUAGCUUGAAGGUGCUGAUUUGAGCCUGAGUUCUUUCUUCAUUCAUUUUUGGUCUUUCUAAAGGAUUUAAAGACUUGGCUGAAGUGUGUAUGUGUGUGUGUGUGUGUCUGUGUGUGUGUGUGUGUGUCUGUGUGUGUGUGUGUCUGGGUGGUAUGUCUAUGUCUGUGGUGGGUAUGUGCACACCUGUGCGUGUGUAUGCACUAGUGCCUCCAUUUGUGUGUGUAGGACAGGAACAGUGUUCCAUGUCUGUUUUGGAAUCAACUUGUGUGUUAGUCACCUUUCUAUCACUGUGAUAAAACACCGUGACCAAGGCAGCUCAGCUCAUAUAUAGAGGGAGGGGUUUAUGGAUCCAGAAGGAUAAAAGUCCAUCAUGGUGGGGAAGCAUGGCAGUAAGGAGUGGGCAUGUCGGCUGGAGCAGAAGGUGAGGGCUCAAAUACCAAAUGGAAGGAACACAGCUGAGGCUGUGAACUAGAAAUGACAUGAGUCUUCAACUGUCAGAGCCCACCUCCAAUGACACACUUCUGUAGGGGGUAGUGCUGACUUUAAGGUCCUGUUCCCCAGUUGGUUCUUGAUAUGUCAGCAAAAAGCCAUGGGCCAAUUGCUGGGCAGAAGGUAUAGGUGGGACUUUUAGGUCCCAGGAGGCAGGAAGAGAGAGAAAUGAAAGGAAGGAGAAAGGAGUUUGCCAUGCUUUGGAGAGAGGAGAACCAGGCAACCAUGUUAGAUCUGAAAACAGAGUGGCCACACUGGCUGCUCCUAUAGGCAGUGGUCAGGGGAGUUUAGCAACUGGAGUUCAGGGCAGGUGGGAGAGACUGAGAUAAGAAACUGAUAAGGAAACACUUUUUCAGGUGGGAGAUAGUAGCGCCCAGCAAUUGUGCCUUAAGGCCAGUUGAAAAGGAACAACUGUGUGUCUGUGUCUUUUAUCCUAGGGUUCAAGGGAAGCCAGGAGAGGGCUGGUAGCACAGUCACUUCCUGGAACAGAGGUGGGUAGAGUGUAAAACUGCAUGCAACAUACUUCCUACAACAAGGUCACACCUCCUAAGCCUCCACACACAGCGCCACCAAUGGGCACCAAGUACUCAAAUACCCAAGACUAUGGGGGACAGACAGCUCAUGCAAACCACCAGGGCUGCAUGCCAGGUCUCUGGAGUCACAUGACACUUUUGUUUUCUGUGUUCUGGUUCUCUCACCUCUAGAGUGUUGCUGACACUAUUGCUAGCGGAAGCAUAGAACCUAUUCAGGGGAUUGUUUUCAAAUGCAGACCAACAAGUCCAGACCCACAUUUCUACAACCACUCUGUUAUGGGUUCUCAAAGUCUGGGUCACCUUCUGCUUGCUCAUAUACCCAGGGACAAAUGUCACAUAGCCAGGGGCAGCUGUGUUGUCCAGAGUCUGCUGAGAUGACUCUAAGCCAGGAAAGCCUAUGCGUGUCUCCUCAGGGAACCACCUGAAGGCAUAUGCUCACAGCUGCUCUCUCACAUCCUUUCUGCCUUCUACCCCCACAGCAUGGCACUGUGAGGCACUGUGAGUCACAACUCUCCUUUAAGCAACCUGUUCUGACACAGUGAUCAUAGCAUACCUCAAGUUUACAACUCCAUCAGUGGGUGUCUGUGUAUUCCGGCCCUGCAAGCUACAUCAAAUUCUUAGUUUGUUCAUUCCUUUGUCCCCAAAUUAACACAGUAUCAUCCCUGAAAUAGCCUUACUCUCCCUGGCUACAGAAAUUCUAAAUGGCAUCUGUGCAUCCUGGUCAUUUUUUGGUCUGUAACCCUAACUCAUUUAUGGUCUGCAUGAACCACUGAUGGUCAUCUCAUAGCUGCUUAUACUUAUAGACUGUACACACCACUCAUGGCCAUCACAUAACCUGUCUGUACCUACAUGUGGGAUGAUGUCAUCACGCAGGUGUAGGUAGGUACAAGAUAGAACAAGGCCUGCCAUUGGACGAGAAGAAAGGAUGGGUGGGAGAAAAGUUUGAGGAGGAGACCGGAUCAGAAAGGACGGGAGACUGGAGGAGAGGAAGAGAAGCUAUGGAGAGAACAUGGAGGCUGACGUUAAGAUUCCACUCUGUGUAUUUACAGGUUGUUAUGAAUGUUCUUAAGGGAUGGAUGUAUAUAGGGCUUUGUAUGUUUAGGUGGGCAAUUAAAUCUUAUCACUUGGAUCAGAGGUUGUUGUGUUGUGUGUUCUUUCUUGUGGCGAAUUAAGUUUGAGAGAGUAUGUGGCAGCUGGGACACUAAGCCACCACAGGAUUGGGAUGUGUGCUUCUGGCAAGAUAUCAGAUAUCUUGGGACACUGUGGUGCUGGAUCUAGUGAGGGAAAAAGACAGCUUGUUUUUUAUAAUUUUGCAGCAACACCUACAGACUGUGCACACCACUGGUGGUCAUCACAUAGCCACCUGUACCUACAGGCUGUGCACACCACUGGUGGUCAUCACAUAGCCACCUGUACCUACAGGCUGUGCACACCACUGGUGGUCAUCACAUAGCCACCUGUACCUACAGGCUGUGCACACCACUGGUGGUCAUCACAUAGCCACCUGUACCUACAGACUGUGCACACCACUGCUGGUCAUCACAUAGCCACCUGUACCUACAGGCUGUGCACACCACUGGUGGUCAUCACAUAGCCACCUGUACCUACAGACUGUGCACACCACUGCUGGUCAUCACAUAGCCACCUGUACCUACAGGCUGUGCACACCACUGGUGGUCAUCACAUAGCCACCUGUACCUACAGGCUGUGCACACCACUGGUGGUCAUCACAUAGCCACCUGUACCUACAGACUGUGCACACCACUGCUGGUCAUCACAUGGCCACCUGUACCUACAGACUGUGCACACCACUGCUGGUCAUCAUAUAGCCACCUGUACCUACAGACUGUGCACACCACUGCUGGUCAUCACAUAGCCACCUGUACCUACAGGCUGUGCACACCACUGCUGGUCAUCACAUAGCCACCUGUACCUACAGGCUGUGCACACCACUGCUGGUCAUCACAUAGCCACCUGUACCUACAGACUGUGCACACCACUGCUGGUCAUCACAUAGCCACCUGUACCUACAGACUGUGCACACCACUGCUGGUCAUCACAUAGCCACCUGUACCUACAGACUGUGCACACCACUGCUGGUCAUCACAUAGCCACCUGUACCUAGACUGUGUACCACUGUUGGCCAUCACAUAGCCAACUGGACCUACAGACUGUGCACACCACUGCUGGUCAUCACAUAGUCGCCUGUUGAUAUAGCCACUGACUAUAUAUCUCAUUUGAUUCAUUAUGUUAUCAAACAAUUUUGAUGGAAGUUUUCAUUUUCAACUAGGUUGUAAGUCCCUGGAGUUUAGUAAAUCUGUUUACUUUGUACAUUUUUGUACACCCACUUUCAUUCCCUAACCAAUAGGAUUUUGUUUCUGCUGCCUAUAAAAACUCAAUAAAUAUUUGAUGGUAGCCACUAGAUGAUAAUAUUUGACAGCAACUUGAAAGUGAAUAACAUUAUGGAUUCUAUGGGCACUGUGAAUCUUCUGUUAUUUUGAAAUGUCUCAUAAAUCAGGUGAGAUAUAUAAUUUCUAAUAUAUACAUGUAUAUGUAUCAAAAGUCUGUGAUUUAGUAAGUAUUAGCACUGAGUAUCUGAUUCGGGUACUAUGUUGAUUUGGGGACAAAAGAAUGAACAAAUUAAGGGGCUAAAGAGAUGGCUCAGUGAGUGAGAACACUUGCUGCUCUUGCAGAAGACUGGAGGUUGGGUUCCGGCACCCACAAAGGGUGAUUUACAAGCACCUGUACCUCCAGUUCCAAGAGAUCUGACGCUCUUUCCUUGAUUCCAUAGGUACCUGAGUGUGUGUGUGUGUGUGUGUGUGUGUGAGAGAGAGAGAGAGAGAGAGAGAGAGAGAGAGAACAGACAUACACAUCAUACACAUAUAUCUCCAGUAAUAAUGUGGACCUUUGAGCCAAUAGCCUCACAGUGGAAGCCAGAUUACUUUCUGAAAUAAUAAUAUAACAUGAAAAAUCAAAGCUAGUGUUUAUACAGAAACCAAGUGAACUCACUAGCUGUUAUUUAAAGUUUCUGCGUGUGUGUGUGUGUGUGUGUGUGUGUGUGUGUGUGUGUGUGUUCUGUGUGUUGAUUGAUGAGUGCAUGCAUCGUGUGAAUGGAGUCGUAGGGUUGGUUGUGUGGGAACUCCUGGGACUAAUGGGGUGCUUCCUGGAGUGCAGAGGCUCUGAUAGGAUUGCUGGCCUCCCUACCAGGGAUGACUCAGGCCUGGGUCAUGAGAAGCCUUCAUGGAUGGGCUGGGGAACAGGGAUAGCAGAGAGGAGAAUAUGUCCAUGUCUGGCCCUUACUUUACUACUGGAGCCUUAGAGUCAGUCUUUUCUGAGGCUCAUGCAAGACAUUCUGGGUAGAAAUCUCUGAUAACGAUUCUGAGGUAGCUAGAAUUCACCAUCUCACCGGUGGAGGGGGGCAGGAGAGCUAGGCUUCCGUUCAAGCUGGGUCGUUCAAGCUGGGUCGGGAUACAAACACCCUCUUAUCCUCCUGUCCUCCGCCCCUCCCCCUCCCGUGCCCCUCCCCCUCUUCCUCUCCCUUCUCCCUUCCUCUCCCCUCCUCCUCUCCCUCCUCCCCCUCUUCUUCUCCCUACUGCCCACCCCCCAUUUCCCUUGCAUUAGGCCAGGACUAAGCUGAGGAUCUAUCAGACUGGAUAGUGGACAAUGGGGUGACCCUAACAUUCUAGAUUGGUGGAAAAAAAAACCACACGCCUAAUUUUGCCGUCAUAUCCUGUAUGCAAUAGUAGUUAACAGAAGUAGGAACUAGAAUGCAGUGAACGGGCUGCAGUUGACCCGUGUGUACUAAAACCUGAUUUGGAAGUGUCCCGGGACACAGGUUCUCUGGUGGCAAACAGUGUCUUCUGAAGCCUGUGUUUUACAAUGCUAUAACUGUCCCUUUCCUGUGGUGAUUUGCAAGCUGCUAGGGUGGUGAUCCAGGUUUGCACUCAGACCUGUAGACCACAAACACGUUAAGACUGCUAGGCUUAGACUCACUUUUGAAACGUGGGUAUUUUUCUCGGGACAAGGCUCUAGUUUCUGUUGGUGUGCAUCUGUGACUAUUACAAUUGGACAGAGAGAGCUGCUGCGAUCCAGGCAGCCAUGGGCCAUGGCCGUUCGCAGUCAGGGCCCAAUUAACUGAUUUCGUAGUGGCCGCAGCAUGACCGGAGAAUUCAUUUUGGAGAUGAAGUGGAAAAUAAAAGCAAGAUCGGGGUCAUUUCAAGCGUCUGAGAGGAAUGCACGGCGAAUUCAAUGGAGAGAUGGAAGCAUUUGGUCCCCGAAGACAAGCAUGACAUUGCAAUUUAGUAGUGACGAGAAAACUGACGUCCCUUGGAAACACCGGCCCACGUUCGCCGGCUUUCUCCGUUAAGUUUGUUACUGCGCAGCCGCAGCUGUUUAAAAGCGGUCCUGAAAUAUCUGCAGUGCGGAACGUUGGGAGGGCUUCUCAUUUGCUGAGACUUUGCAGCAGGCAGAAGGGCCGCUUGUGUACGACUUUCGAUGGAUUUGGAAAGCCCUGCAGAAGUGGGCGGUGACAAUGGAGAGGUUUAUUUUUUCUUUCUCUUUGGCUUGUCUGUGGCAUGGGUGAAACAGAAACACAUGCUUGGGUUUUGCUUCCCUUGAGCACCUGAAGGUGAGCAUCAGGCACGAGACCCACAGGGGAGAAAAAGCAUGGACAAAGGCAGCCGGCCACACACAUGGCUUUCCUUCAGAGACCAUUCUGGAACAGAUGGGGAAACAGAGGCAGCAGCCACGUAUGCUGAGUCUCUCAGCUGUUUAGGAGCAGAGCCCAGAACGUCCACUACCCAGACCCCCGCCCCCCUCUCCCUUCUGUUCCCUAGACGUGAAAUCUCUGCCUGGAAACGUUGGUGCCCACAUUCAGAACAUAAAACUCCUCCUCCUCUCUUCUCCCCAAAGGAUUAAUUUGUUUUCAGUGUUUACAUUAGCCAGAAACCAAGUAGGGAAUACUCCUAACUCAUUUUUCAAACGAGAUGUUCUUUAAUAGUUUCCCAGCACGGGCUGCUUGGCUGCUCUGUGAGAGCCGAGUCUGUGCAGAAAACUCACAUCGGCUACAUCAAAAUGCUGCUCUCAGGGCCCUCGAGGGGCCCCUCACAGUUGCCGGUCAUGUGCAGGCCUCACUUUCUGUUUUUUUCUGAGCAUACUGGAAACAGCAUCAAAGAUUGGACUAUAUCAUUCCAAAAAAAAAAAAAAAGUAUAUCACACUAAUAGUGUGUAAUGAUAGGGUUGUUCCCAACCAUAGCCCAGCAUACAAUAAAUCACCCAUGGGGAUGAAAUAAAAUCACUUUGUUAGACAAGGUGGGGGAGGGACCCAGACAUCCUUUUGGGACAUCUGCAUGGCCACAAAGCCCUUGCACUUGGCAAGGCAGGGGACAGCGGUUACUCCUACUCCAUAGCAGAUUGCUUUGACCACUAUGUCUUGUAUUUGAGGCGUACAAGCAGGCCCAGGAUGUGACUGAAGAGAGGGUUAGGGUGUGGAGAAGGAAAGCUGUUGCAAGAGGAGGGGUAACAGGGCUGACUAGGGAAGAGACUAUGGCUGGCAGGCAGGGUCAAUGUCCUAGUCACUGUCUCAGGGUUCAGCUGUGGAGUCUAGGGAGGCUGGGUAGGCAUGGGCCUGCUGACUCAGUUUCCCCAUAUGUUGCUGGACUCUUAUGGACUUGACUCUAUGCCUGGGCUGUAGUCCUGUAGAAGAGAUGGGAGCCACCAUGGGGAUGAACACUGUCCCUGAGGUUUGCUGUUCAGGGCUCAGCUCAGCCUUUAUACUUUGGGCUUUUUCCCGUCCUCUUUGAUGGACCCAAAUGUUUGUUUUCCAAAGCAGCUGAAGCCUUUUCCCGUCUAGAAGCGUCACCAGCAGUGCACAUGUUCUAGCUCUCUUACAAAGAUGUAGAUGUCAGAGCAUAAUGGCCCCGGGUGAGGGAGAUCGUCUGAAGUUUAGAGGAGAUGGGGGCAGGCUAGAGAGUGCUCCAGGGAUGCCGGCAGCUAAGUGAUCUCAUGAUUCCUGCAAGCCACUGGAGGCCUGUUUCCUGGGACUCUGCAUGUUGACGCAGGCUGGAGUCGUGUACAAAUCUCGUCCUCUGUGUAGCCUUUCCCAGGUGUGUCAGGCACCUCUCUCAUGUGCCUCUUUCUACCACAGCGGAAUCUUUUCUACUUCACUAAGGAUGGUCACAAGCAGUGAAUCAGUGGCCUAGAGUGCAGGAGCCUCCUGAACCCCAGACAAAGGAGAAAAUGUAAGAAUGUAAAAGUGAUUUGGGGCCCGUGGAUGCUCCCCUUUAAAGGAAACUCCUCUUCUUCCUCCUCUUCCUCCUCUUCCUCCUUCUUCUUUUCCUUUUCUCCUCUUCCUCCUCCUUGUUCUCCUCAUCCUCAUCACUGUGUGUGUGUGAGACAUUAUGUGUAUAGAGGUCAGAGGACAACUUUGUGUAGUUGGUUCUCUCCUUCCACCUUUACAUGCGUUCUGGUUCUUGAACUCAUUUGUCAGGUUUGCUUGGAGAGCAGCCCUCCCACCCACUGAGCCGCCACAGACCUUCUUUUAUUUGUACCUGUGCUGCAGAGAGGGCUAGAGAUGGCCCACCACUUGCCUUUAAGCACCUCGUCUCUCGCAUGGUCCCGCCUGAUCCCUGGACCAUGUUGUUCUCACUAGGACACAGCAGAGCCUCUUAUGCAUGCUGUCCACCUUCGCUCUAUCCCUGAGGCUCCUCUCAUUCCCCAUGUUGGAAAUGUCAAGGGUUGGGCCAAGACUUGUUCGGAGACAUUAUGUGGUUUGGACUUGCCUUCACUGGUUUUGCAAUCCUCAGGAGGAGGAAACUCUUUUUGAAUGGUCUCACGGUGACCAGCACAAGUGAAGCAGUUUACCUUAGAGUAGCCCACUCUCAGUGUGUCCUGCUGCUCUCUAGUGUCCCAGUUUGUCCUUAGUUUAAGGAUGAGAGGGAAUAGUAUCACAUGCAGUAGAUUGACAGGCGCCCUCUAGUGGAACAUCGACAUCACACUUCCCUCCUGAGACCCGGAGACAUUGUAGGAGAGGACACUGAAAGUACUGAAGGUUGGGAGGAGACCUAUAGUGUCUUCUGGACAUGACAGAACUUUGAAAUUCAUGAACUCUCAGCAUGGCUGCCUGCACAAAACCUACCCAAGACCAUGGCGGUCAAGAUAGGGACUGGCUCUUAAAGCUCCGCCCCCAGCUUGGGAGCUAUGGGUAGUUGGAGGCUGCUCAGGGAGAAGGUCAGGGGCGUGGCUCCUGGUACCCACGCUCUGCUGUGUGGUCCCACCCCACCCCCAGGAGCAGACAGGCAGCACUAAUUCAGUGGGAUCCGGCAGUGAUGGAGGGAACUGAGAGGAGUCAGGGCUGGGUAUUACCAGGAUACAUUGUAUACCCGUAUGAACUUCUCUUUUUUUUUUUUUUCCGGAGCUGGGGACCGAACCCAGGGCCUUGCGCUUCCUAGGUAAGCACUCUACCACUGAGCUAAAUCCCCAGCAUGAACUUCUCAAAGAGUGAAUAAAGAUAUAUUAAAAGGAGUAACGUAGAGUUCAUAGCUGUUUGAUAAGUUGUGGCCCUCCUCCCCACCUCUUGGUUUAGACACCAUGGAGUGAGAAGAUGUUUGAUGAUCAAUAGGCCCUUCUGUACGUUUGGUGGCAAAUAGUUGUUUUCUACUAAAUGUAAGUAUAAUUCAUGUACCAGAUUUUAGAUCAUUUAAGGUGUUUUUUCAUAAUCAACAUAUGACUACAAAUGACCUUAGUGGUGGAGCUCUCAGUACGUUGCCCUACAGUCCAGUGAACGGCCUCACCCAUACACAUGUGAGCCACGCUGAUCGGACUCAGCAGCUUAAAAAGAUGACAUAAAGCCAAGAGACUGGCAUGUUGAGGAGGGCCCAGAGAGAGGGGGAUAUGAUCAACUACACUAUAAUUCUUUAUGAAAUUCUCAGAGGCUGGAUAAAAAUAAUAUUAAAAGAAGAGACUCCUAAGGACUAAAAUAAGCUUAGCUAAGGAAAUGAAAGAUUCCCAUGCAGAAAAAUACAAGAUAAUGCUGAAAAAAAAAACACUAAAUAAACGGAAUGACAUGCUAUGUUCACAGGUUGAAAGACUCAUACUGUUCAGACGGCAACAUUACCCAAAAUAUACAGCUUUAAUGUGGUCCCUGUGAAAAUUCCAGCAGCCGGUUCAGAGAUCACAGGAGCCCACGUAGCUAAAGCCGGAAAGGGUCAUGGGAGCCCCACAUGGCUCAAGCCAGAGGGGAUCAUGGGAGCCCCACAUGGCUGAAUCUGGAGGGGCUCAUGGGAGCCCUACAUGGUUGAAGUUGGAAGGGAUCAUGGGAGCCACACAUGACUGAAGUCAGAGUCACACAUGGCUGAAGCUGGAAGGGGUCAUGGGAAUCCCACAUGGCUGAAGCCGGAGGGGAUCAUGGGAGCCCCACAUGGCUGAAGUUGGGGCCACACACGGCUGAAGCUGGAAGGAGUCAUGGGAGCCCCACAUGGUUGAAGCCAGAGGGGAUCACGGGUCCCACAUGGGUGAAGCCAGAGGGGAUCAUGGGGCCCCACAUGGGUGAAGCGAACUAAAAAGAACAGACUUUAGAGAUUUUCUCCUCCUAAUGAGAACCUUCGUGGUCACUCUGAUUGACUUUUCACACUUAAAAUAAUGCAAUAAAGUUCAGAGUCUGGAAAUAGCCACAGUCACCUAUAGCCAUUCAAUUUCAGCAAGGAUGUUACGAUUGGUUAAUGGGAAAUAACAGCCUAUUUGUAAAUGCCCCUGGAACAACUGGGUGUCUGCAUGCCAAAAAAAAAAAAAAAAAAAAAGAAAUCCCUACUUCACUCAUAUAUAAAAAGACAUCUCUGCAGGAAAGCUAAAGAUAAAAAAGUAGAAGAAAACACAGCCAGCCAUCACGGCUUUGGGUUUGGAGGUGGACACGUGACUACGAUAUCACAGUAGAAGCAAUAAGACUUUAAUCAGAAGAAAGUUCUAUGUAUUAAAGGUCAUUAUCAACAAAGUGGAAAGACAUCAAGGAAUAGAGAAAAUUGUUAAAAUUAUCAGCUAAGGGUCUAGAAUCUAGGACACAAGCAGAAUGCUUACAAUUAAAAAAAAUAAUUAUCUAGGGCUGUGGAGAUGGCUCAGCAGUUAAGAGCAUUUGCUGCUUUUCCGUGAGACCUGAGUUCAGUUCCUAGUAUCCAUGACUGGCUCGAAGCUGCCUGUGACUCCAGCUUCAGGGGAUCUGACACCCUCUUCUGGCCUCUACGAGCAACUGCACACACACACACACACACACACACACACACACACACACACACACUUAAAAAUAACUAAUAACUCACUUUAAAAUAAACAAACCGCUGGAAGAAUAGCCAAUGUAGAUGCAUAAGAACACAUGCGCUUAUUUUUUUCUCCCUCACCUCAGCCCUGAAGCAAGGAGGCCAAGUAACCACGGACAGAAACCUCAGAAACCGGGAAUCCUCAGGAACUUCUUCCCACUCGAAGUGAUUUCCCCAGGCAUUCUGUCACAGCAGUGGAACGCUGACUGACUGACUAAUAUGCCUUCGUUCUGGUGCUGGGAGUGCAGGAGUGUGCCCCAUGUCCAGUUUACAUGGUACUGGGAGUUGAACCUUCCAUGAGCCUCAUGAACUCUAGCCAGACAGCACCAGCUGAGCCACAUCCCUACCUCUUGGUGCAAUCAUUAUUAAUAAUGCAAAGAUUCCAGGCUGCAGACCUGACGAAGGAAGAGAACUCCUUGAACCUGGUGGGAGAACCAGCAGUCUUUCCUCAAGGUUGACUAUUCCUGGUCCCCUUAAGAAUGCUGAAGUCUACAGAUGUCCAAGCUCCUAAUCAUGUAAACUGGUUUCCUCAUGAAGGUACCACAAAAAGACAUCAGCAACAUGAAAGAUGAAGAGAGGGCUGGAGAGACAGCUCAGCAGUUAAGAGCACUGACUGCUCUUCCAGAGGUCCUGAGUUCAAUUCCCAGCAACCACAUGGUGGCUCACAACCAUCUGUAAUGGGAUCCGAUGCCCUCCUCUGGUGUGUCUGAGGACAGAGGCACUGUACUCAUAUAUAAUAAAUAAAUAAAUCUUAAAAAAAAUGGAGAGAGAAAGAGGAGUUUCCAUAGAUGACAGAGCAUAGGAAAUGCUGAGAGUUCCUUAGCCUGGGAGAGAAGUUAUUGAGGAAACCGCAAAAGCCCAAAGAAAGCACUGUAGAAAGAUAGGAGAGUCAAUAACAGAGAACCAACCAAGAUCCCCAGUAGGGAAAAGUGAGUUUUUCUAGGCACAUUCAGAUCCGUUACAUUAUUUAAGGGUUCGUCAUUCAAGAUGUGGAGUCCUCGUGAGCUCCCUACCUGCCAUAUUUUGUUUUGCUGGUGUCUUAGUGUUUCUACUGCUGUAAUAAAAACACCAUGAACAAAAGCAACCAGGGAGGAAAGGGUUCAUUACAGCUUGCAGCUCCCAGGUCAUUUCAUCACCAAGGGAAGUCGGGGCAGGAACUGAAGCAGAGACCGUGGAGGGGUGCUGCUUACUGGCUUGCUCAAAGGUCACUGUGGUGGGAGCAUCUUCUCAGUUGAGUUCCUGAUUCCAAAAUGACUCUAACUUGUGUCAAGUUGGCAUGGGACCAGCCAGCACCAUUAGUGACUGGAACGUUUGAAUAACGUCAUUUGGAUGCUGUGUUGGCAGUAGCCGUUUCAAAUGAGGAGAGCUAUUGCUAAUGUGUUCUUAGAGGAUGGCUUUCUGCACAGGUAGCUCCCAUGCUGGCACGUAGGGACCAAAGCUGGCAGUGGACAUGGAAUUCAUUAUUUCAUUUUUGUGGUUUGCAUUUAUUCGUUUUAUGUGUGGGAGUUUCUGCCUGGAUGUAUGUAUACUACAUGUGUGCCUGGUGCCCUCGGAGGGCAGAAGGGAACAUUGGAUCCCCUGGAACUUGAGCUGUGGAUGGUUGUGAACCUGGGUCCUCUGCGAGAGUAACAAGCCCUCUUAACUGCUGCUCCACCUCCCCAGGCCACAGACACACGAUUUAUGGCAAAGGUAGCAUGCUGUCACUAAGGACUAACAAGUGGCUGGAGGCUCCUCAGCCUCCUACAGAAACUGGGGUGCUGGCAGAGAGGGUUUGGACAAAGAACGGCUCUCUUGGGGUGGGAUGAAGUUGAGACUCUGAGAUUCCAAAAGGAACAAGGGCCGAGAAUAAAUGCUGCUUGGAGAAGAGCCAGGGAACUUGGAGUUGGUGGAGCAAUUUCUGUCCAAAGAGACAAAAGCAAGUCAGAAAGGGAAGGAGCCAGUGCAAAAACCCAUUGAAACCAAGUGUUCCUAUUCCUUAGUCUCUUUGGAAAUGCAGUGUUAAUGAGAGGACUGUUUACUGAUGGGGCCCUGCUUCUGCAUGCAAGUUCAAUCCAAGCUCUGCAAAUGUCAGGAGCCUCUGCUUCCUGUUAGGUUUCCACUCACAGGGGCAGUGCAAACCUAAAUGGUCUGGGCUCUUCAGGCUCAGGCGGACCUCUUCCCCCAGCUCCACUGCCUGUAGGGUCCCAGCCCUGAUCAGUGGGUUGUGCUGGUCGAGGGAGGGAAGCUCCAGUUCUUUCCAUGCACCUCUGUCUGUGGGAUACCACUUUUCGUGUAUCAUCCUCUGUUUUUACAGAAUAGGGGAAAGAUAAAUCCAGGAAGUGAGGGUUUUGACAUUCUUUAAAGGGUUGAGACAAAAUCUCAAGAAGAAUAAUACUUUGUGACAUGAAAAUGAUAAUAAAUAAAAUUGCAUCAGGAUACAACCCUGUUCAUUUUUUUCCUCCUUACUGCCAUGGUAACAUUAGUUAAAGGCUGUCCCCAGUAAACGUUUACCCUCUGGCUCAUUAGAGAGAAGACUUUGCCAAAGCCCCCCAACUCUGAACUGCCAGCCCCUCAGAGAUGGACCGGGUAUGGAGAUCUCGCUGAGGACCAAGCACAGCUGAGCCGUUUUUUUUUCUUUUCUCUUCAGAUGGUCUUGUUAGGGGGUUGGGGGUUGUAGCUUAGUUUGUAGAUUGCCUGCCCAGGAUGCUUGAAGCCCUGGCUUCAAUCCCCAAGUUUCUAUGAAGUGGGUAUGACGGGCCUCUGCCGAAUCUUGCAUGGCCAUGUAGAAGGGGCGGGGUGACAUGGUUUCCUGCCCUGGAACAGAGCCCUCAGGGUGUGGGCCUCCACAAGUGCUGAGGGUUACUAGGUGUGAGGCACGCACACACACACACACACACACACACACACACACACACACACACACAUAACUUUAUGUUCCUCCUUCAGAAAAUAUUCUGCCUGUCAAAGUUAUUGGGGAAUGUCCAGUGUCAUAUUAAUGACUCCAUGAUAAUCUGAGACAGUCCAAAUCCAGAAAGUGAAGAUGUGUGUAAUGUCUUAGCAAAAUGAUAGAAUGAUGUAGCCUUCAGGACAGCCUUUAAGGCUGUGGUAAAGAACUAUGAAAACAUGAGUUCAAAAAUAUCUAACUUCUCAACCAAGCAAAAUAUUAAGGAUGUAAUACGAAUUAUGUGAAGGGCUUCAUGGACCUAAGUGAACAGAGGCAGCUGCACUGUGAGCCAGUUUGUCAGAAAGAUACAAAGGCAGGCAUAUUAAUGGGUUCAAGGUCAGCCUGGGACAGAAUGAAUCCAGGUUCAAGCGUGGUUGGAAUGGUCGUCUCAGGAUGGGAUCCCACCCAGCUAAGUUUAUUGUUUGUGCUUACAAAGGCAGGUCGAUCUCUGAAUUCACUGGCAAUGUUAAAAAUGCACUUGCUGUCUUUUUCUAAGAAUCAGGGGGCUGGGGUCAUGGGAUGAUGAUUUGUGGAAUAGUCAAAGGGGGACCUGGGAAAAUGAUUGAAUUGAUGUAAAUACAGGACUGGGCUUUUGAUCUACAAGAGAUGAGCUAUCCAGAGAGAUUUUAGAAUUGUUUUGAGCAAGAGAGAGCUGUCUCCAGCAGAAAGCUUAUGUCUUGAGCAGAACACAGGCUGUCCCCUUGUACCCCAUGAUUUGACUUUGAGUCAUUCACCCCUCCCUUGCUUUCAAACUCCCCUUCUCUCAGGAGCCUCUCUCCAAGCCAAGGCUGGUCCUUGGCAGUCCAUGCCCUGUAUUCUCAGUAAGAAGACCACGAAUUCACAGCCAUGUCACUUUCUUCAGUGGUACUGCGGUUGACAAGUUGUGUGCUUUUGUGACUACUCCCCUCCACACCCAUGAAGAUGCCCCAAUUAAACUCAGUGGGACACACAUGAAACAAGACACAGAAAGUAGGAGAGGGUGGGAAAGAAGAGUUUUGAUGGGGGAGAAACAGGGAGCCGGGAGUGUAAUGGGGUAAAAAUAGCUAAAAUUCCUCAUGUGUAUGUAUAAAACCCAGAAAUAAAAGCACAAAGCAAAUGUAAGAAGAGAAUCAGAAGUCAAAAUAAAGAUUUGUUAUGCUAGCAUAUUAUGUGUGUAUGUUUAAAAAUAUCAUGUUACACAUAAUAAAUACAACUUUUCCUGUGUUAGGUAAAAGUAAAAUUCGUAGAAGGCGAUGGAGCCAUGGCUGUGUGUUCUUAUCUUCCUGUUUGUCAUUGCUGUGGUGGGAGGGUUGAGUGGAAGACGACCUUUGACCUUAGGGUAGAAACUUCCGUAUAGACCUCCUGCCCACACCUUGUCUCCAGAGAGGCUCACUUGUUGGGACUUGGUGGUGAAUCUAGAUGACACUAAGGGCCUCUUAGUACAUGGGAGUAGGUGGAAUGGAGCUCUCGGGACCACUGCUCCCACAGCCCAGCCUCCUGGCCUCACCACCAACCUUCAGUGGACAUUGAGGUCAUUUUCAAGCAGAAACACGUUUCUGUUCUGCAAGACCUUGUGUGGAGUUCUGAGACUGAAUGCUAGGGACACGUUCACCUUUUGGAUUUCUGCUUCAGACAGUGUUCAUGUCAGAUGAGCUGGGGAACGCAUCGUGAUUCCUGCGUAGGGAAAGGACUCUGCAGAAUUACGAGCAGCAAGACUUUUCGGGCCUUUGUCGUGGCUGCAGGAACUCCUGACAGCAACAACUGAGGAGAGGGAGGCUUUACUCUGGAUCAUGGUUAGAGCAGGUGCAAUGCACCUUGGACAGGAAAGCGUGGCUAAGUUUGUGGCAGCAGAAUCAUGUGGCUGAGACAGCUCCCAUCCGGGCAGAUCAGGGAAGCAAAGAGCUUUGAGUAGAAACAGGGCCAGACUGAGACUCUCAAGGUCUGUCCAUCCUAGUGACUCAUUUUUUUUUCUUUUAUUUUUUGGCUAAGUCCCACCACCUCAAAGUUCCACAGACUUCCCAAACAGUAUUAUUACAAGCUAUAGACACAAAGUAUUCAUCCAUGAACCUAUUGGGGCUAUAUUUGAACCACAAGUUAUAAACACCAAGUAUUCAACCCCUGAGCCUAUGGGGGCCAUAUUUAAACCACAAGCUGAUAGACACCAAGUAUUCAACCCCUGAGCCUAUGGGGGCCAUAUUUAAACCACAAGAACAACACAUGUGAGUGCCAUAGGAGCUCUAGAGGAAAGCUAGGUGCUGCCUGGCUCCUGGUGCAUACAGCAGGGAAGAGGAAAUAUCACAGGUCUGAGAUACACUCAGAGAGGUCGGACCUCGUUUAUAAGAAAUUACUGAUUCUAUCUCUUUUAUUGAGCACUGAUCAUAGGCCAGAUUGUAGUCCUUGCUGAAAAUAGAAAACAAAAGAUGGCUUUUAUCUUGGCAGUCAGAUGGUGCCUCCCAUGUGGUCUGUCACCUCUGUGGAAAAGCAUCAGAGGUAUAGGGAGAACUUCUGAGUCUGCCAAGCCCUCCAAAGGGCUCCCCUGGGGGCUUGCAGUUGUCAUAAAGGCACAGAAGGACAUCUCGGGCACAUCUAGUGCCAUAGCAGGUAUGAGGGUGGAUGUGAACCGGGUUACUAUGAGCUCAGGGCUCAUGGCUUGUGUGGAGCAGCGUGGAGGACAAGGACAGGUCACACACUAUGACAUGCAAAAGUGAUUGUUUUAUCCUUUCAGCUCCACCGAAGUGACCACGGAUGUUGGGUUAGAGGAUGAAGAAGAGGAUUUGUUUCAAAGUUUGUUUUGCAUGGUGUGGAGGGGGGCCAUCCC